GUAGGUGAACCUGCGGAGGGAUCAUUACUGAGUUUACGCUCUAUAACCCUUUGUGAACAUACCUAUAACUGUUGCUUCGGCGGGUAGGGUCUCCGUGACCCUCCCGGCCUCCCGCCCCCGGGCGGGUCGGCGCCCGCCGGAGGAUAACCAAACUCUGAUUUAACGACGUUUCUUCUGAGUGGUACAAGCAAAUAAUCAAAACUUUUAACAACGGAUCUCUUGGUUCUGGCAUCGAUGAAGAACGCAGCGAAAUGCGAUAAGUAAUGUGAAUUGCAGAAUUCAGUGAAUCAUCGAAUCUUUGAACGCACAUUGCGCCCGCCAGCAUUCUGGCGGGCAUGCCUGUUCGAGCGUCAUUUCAACCCUCAAGCUCUGCUUGGUGUUGGGGCCCUACAGCUGAUGUAGGCCCUCAAAGGUAGUGGCGGACCCUCCCGGAGCCUCCUUUGCGUAGUAACUUUACGUCUCGCACUGGGAUCCGGAGGGACUCUUGCCGUAAAACCCCCCAAUUUUCCAAAGGUUGACCUCGGAUCAGGUAGGAAUACCCGCUGAACUUAAGCAUAUCAAUAA
rnacentral:rRNA from 1 species